rnacentral:rRNA from 1 species
AACGAACGCUGGCGGCAUGCCUAACACAUGCAAGUCGAACGAGACCUUCGGGUCUAGUGGCGCACGGGUGCGUAACGCGUGGGAACCUGCCCUUAGGUUCGGAAUAACUCCCCGAAAGGGUGCUAAUACCGGAUAAUGUCUUCGGACCAAAGAUUUAUCGCCUUUGGAUGGGCCCGCGUUGGAUUAGCUAGUUGGUAGGGUAAAAGCCUACCAAGGCGACGAUCCAUAGCUGGUCUGAGAGGAUGAUCAGCCACACUGGGACUGGGACACGGCCCAGACUCCUACGGGAGGCAGCAGUGGGGAAUAUUGGACAAUGGGCGAAAGCCUGAUCCAGCAAUGCCGCGUGAGUGAUGAAGGCCUUAGGGUUGUAAAGCUCUUUUACCCGGGAUGAUAAUGACAGUACCGGGAGAAUAAGCUCCGGCUAACUCCGUG